rnacentral:rRNA from 1 species
UACGGGGGGGGCAAGCGUUGUUCGGAAUUACUGGGCGUAAAGGGCUCGUAGGUGGCCAACUAAGUCAGACGUGAAAUCCCUCGGCUUAACCGGGGAACUGCGUCUGAUACUGGAUGGCUGGAGUUUGGGAGAGGGAUGCGGAAUUCCAGGUGUAGCGGUGAAAUGCGUAGAUAUCUGGAGGAACACCGGUGGCGAAGGCAGGUCUCUGGGCCACUACUGACGCUGAGAAGCGAAAGCGUGGGGAGCGAACAGG